rnacentral:rRNA from 1 species
GAUGAACGCUGGCGGCGUGCUUAACACAUGCAAGUCGAACGGAGAGCUAUUGACGGAGUUUUCGGACAACUGAUAUAGUUUCUUAGUGGCGGACGGGUGAGUAACGCGUGAGGAACCUGCCUUGGAGAGGGGAAUAACACAGUGAAAAUUGUGCUAAUACCGCAUAAUGCAGUUGGGUCGCAUGGCUCUGACUGCCAAAGAUUUAUCGCUCUGAGAUGGCCUCGCGUCUGAUUAGUUAGUUGGCGGGGUAACGGCCCACCAAGACGACGAUCAGUAGCCGGACUGAGAGGUUGGCCGGCCACAUUGGGACUGAGACACGGCCCAGACUCC